rnacentral:lncRNA from 1 species
GUCCUUCUUAUAAUUUUCUUUUUGCCGGUUGAAAAUGCGGGUGUGAUCUCUACGAAAUGACCCGGGUUUUUUAUUUUUUAUUUUAUGUUUAUUAUUUGCGGCCUUGUCCCGUUUUAAGUUGUUUUUUUAUAAAUGUUUCGGGCCGAUUAAGUUGUUUUUUCUAUCAUACAGGUAAAUUAAUGACACCUUUGUUUCUCAUCGCAAUAUGUAGUAUAUUUACGGAGUGUAGGUGAAGUAUAGACUGCCUCGUGGAGAAUCGAUUAUUUGGCCAGAUUUCAACCAAAAUUAGCCUGAUUGGCAAGUUUCUCCUCAUGUCUCACUUUUCUGACAGAACGUUGACAAAUAUUCGUACUUCAACUUUUAUGAUUUUGUUCUUCGUUAUUAACGGGAAAUUUACGAAAAGCCUCGAGGCGGUAAAUUUUUCAAUUUUCUGUGAUAAAAUAAACCUAAGUGAUAAAAUUAGACAACGUGAAAUGCAGCUAGACUGAUUCUGGUAAAAUUUGGCCACAACCAAGGUGGGGCAAUUUUUUCACUUAUCGUGUCUGUGGACUUUCAGCUUUGGAAACGGUUGGGAAAGUCUUUUAGAUUUCCUUCAAAAUGACGGUUAUGCAACAGAUCAUACAAAUAAUGUCAUACCAAUUGCAUAGUUUUCCAAUUGAAGGGGCUUUAUUUUGCAUCGAAAGUUCUUUCAUCGAAGCGACCGCAGAUAUUCAAUUUUCCCUCGCGUGGCAAGGAAAACAAACGCUAGCAAGAAUAGCCAUCAUGGGACCGAAUCGGGAUUGUGUGGUUUUACAAUGAUGGAUUUGCUUCUUAAAACAUCAAUCUGCCAACAAAAAAGCUUUACUCCGUUUCACCGGGAGCCCUAAGAAUUCUGAAGCUAUAUGGAGGAUAAGGCUCUCUUAAAUAGUGGCUGUGCUCCACGGCCAAUAGCGCAGCGAAGACUACGCCCAUAAUUGUGAUAAUAACUCUCCGACCUUUAUAUGGUUAGUGUCGCCAAAUCUUCCUCUAAAGGCUCUAGAAACUGCAUAGUGUGCGUGACAGCCGAGUUGAGGAAAAACGUCUUAUUUACACUCGAAGUUGCCAAAUGUCUUUCAAUAAAAAUACGCAUUUUUUAAAGAGGUUAUAAAUAUUUUUCCUUGAAAUUUUCAGACACUUUAGAUCAAAUUGUGAACACUUUAGAAAAAUUGCUGAAAUUGCCGUGGGUAUAUUCCCAGGCUCACAAUAUAUCGUUCAGCGCUCAAGUCGAAAAUUUCGCUGCAGUGGUCGCAGAAGAUUCAAUCUUUCAAGUAGAAAACAGCAAUUCAAUGCAGACUUUCAAAGGGAUGUUUACAAGUGAUUUAAAAUGUGAUUCAGGUAAUUUUCAGCAGGAUCAUACGUGUAACUAUUACAAUUGUUAGUAAAAAAAGUAUUCAUUGUCAUCUUUGUCCCGGAAUUUUUUGUAGCACAUAAAAGGGACCGACCAAAAAAUAACUAAAAAUGGCCACUUUUAACAGGAGCGUAUCUGGCGCGACCUCUAAAUAUUCUUUGAUUUCAUCGAAAUUUCACUACGACGGUUUUUUUACCUAUUCAAACCAAAUGGAGGAGGGGGUCUCGUUGAAAUUUCCAAAAAAAUUGAAAAUCCUCACUUUUGAAACACUCU